GUAGGUGGCAAGCGUUGUCCGGAAUUAUUGGGCGUAAAGCGCGCGCAGGCGGUUCUUUAAGUCUGAUGUGAAAGCCCACGGCUCAACCGUGGAGGGUCAUUGGAAACUGGAGAACUUGAGUACAGAAGAGGAAAGCGGAAUUCCACGUGUAGCGGUGAAAUGCGUAGAGAUGUGGAGGAACACCAGUGGCGAAGGCGGCUUUCUGGUCUGUAACUGACGCUGAGGCGCGAAAGCGUGGGGAGCAAACAGGGAUUAGAUACCCUGGUAGUCCACGCCGUAAACGAUGAGUGCUAAGUGUUAGGGGGGGUUUCCGCCCCCGUUAGUGCUGCAGCUAACGCAUUAAGCACUCCGCCUGGGGAGUACGGCCGCAAGGCUG
rnacentral:rRNA from 1 species